rnacentral:rRNA from 1 species
CAUGUCUUUUUGAUUAUAAUUUAAAGUCUGACCUGCCCUAUGAAUAAGUUAUUUUUAAAUGGCUGCGGUACUCUGACCGUGCAAAGGUAGCAUAGUAAUUAGUUUUUUAAUUGGGAACUGGUAUGAAAGGUCGAACGAGAAAAAGACUGUCUCAAUUUAAUUUGAAUUAGAAUUUUAUUUUUAAGUAAAAAAGCUUAAAUAUUUUUAAAAGACGAGAAGACCCUAUAGAGUUUUAUAUAAUUUAGUGUUUUUGAAAGUUAAAGAAUUUUAGAUUUAAUUUUAUUAAAUUAUAUUUGGUUGGGGCAAUUAAAAAAUUAAAAUAAUUUUUUUUAAAUUAUAACAUUGAUAUAUGAUUAAGUGAUCCAUAAUUUAUGAUUAAAAGAUUAAAUUACCUUAGGGAUAACAGCGUAANUUUUUUUUAGAGUUCUUAUCGAAAAAAGAGUUUGCGACCUCGAUGUUGGAUUAAAAUUUACUUUUGGCGCAGCAACUAAAAGGAUUAGGUCUGUUCGACCUUUAAAAUUUUACAUGA